rnacentral:snRNA from 1 species
AUACUUACCUGGUUCUGGGGCCUCUUUCAUCACCGAGGACGAGCCCCCAGGGCGAGGCGCCAGGAUUGCUCUACGCUUGCAUUUACCCCUACUACAACCCCAAACUGGGACGGAGGGGGAUGCAAUUUGCUUAAAUCCGUCCAACGCAUGCGAGGGUGCC